UACGUAGGGGGCGAGCGUUAUCCGGAAUUAUUGGGCGUAAAGAGUGCGUAGGUGGCCAUGUAAGCGCGGGGUGAAAGGCAAUAGCUUAACUAUUGUAAGCCCUGCGAACUGUGUGGCUUGAGUGCAGGAGAGGAAAGUGGAAUUCCUAGUGUAGCGGUGAAAUGCGUAGAUAUUAGGAGGAACACCAGUGGCGAAGGCGACUUUCUGGACUGUAACUGACACUGAGGCACGAAAGCGUGGGGAGCAAACAGG
rnacentral:rRNA from 1 species